UGGAAACCCAGGGUCUAAUACCGUAUAUCUCUAAGGAUCGCAUGAUCCUUAGAUGAAAGAUGGUUCUGCUAUCGCUUUUAGAUGGACCCGCGGCGUAUUAACUAGUUGGUGGGGUAACGGCCUACCAAGGUGAUGAUACGUAGCCGAACUGAGAGGUUGAUCGGCCACAUUGGGACUGAGACACGGCCCAAACUCCUACGGGAGGCAGCAGUAGGGAAUCUUCCACAAUGGACGCAAGUCUGAUGGAGCAACGCCGCGUGAGUGAAGAAGGUCUUCGGAUCGUAAAACUCUGUUGUUAGAGAAGAACACGAGUGAGAGUAACUGUUCAUUCGAUGACGGUAUCUAACCAGCAAGUCACGGCUAACUACGUGCCAGCAGCCGCGGUAAUACGUAGGUGGCAAGCGUUGUCCGGAUUUAUUGGGCGUAAAGGGAACGCAGGCGGUCUUUUAAGUCUGAUGUGAAAGCCUUCGGCUUAACCGGAGUAGUGCAUUGGAAACUGGAAGACUUGAGUGCAGAAGAGGAGAGUGGAACUCCUGGU
rnacentral:rRNA from 1 species